rnacentral:rRNA from 1 species
CAGCCGCCGCGGUAAUACGUAGGUGGCAAGCGUUGUCCGGAAUUAUUGGGCGUAAAGGGCUCGCAGGCGGUUUCUUAAGUCUGAUGUGAAAGCCCCCGGCUCAACCGGGGAGGGUCAUUGGAAACUGGGAAACUUGAGUGCAGAAGAGGAGAGUGGAAUUCCACGUGUAGCGGUGAAAUGCGUAGAGAUGUGGAGGAACACCAGUGGCGAAGGCGACUCUCUGGUCUGUAACUGACGCUGAGGAGCAAAGCGUGGGGAGCGAACAGGAUUAGAUACCCCAGUAGUCCCUGUCUCUUAUACA